GUAUGCAUGCAUAUAUGACUGAAUUUGAUUGAUGAUAAAAAUGUGUUAAAGGUUGGUGGUGGAGUAGGUAAAAGGGUAAGAGGAGAAGUUCUCAAAAGAAUCAAUAAAAGGGUGGUGGUGGUGGUGAUGCAUAUGAGAUUCCAAAGACAGGUGGUAUAGGCCCUUCAUAUACAGGUGGUGGUGGCGGCGAUGAAUAUACCGGUGGUGGAGGUGAGGGAUAUGCAUAUACUGGUGAUGGUGGGGGUGAGGUGUAUACCGGUGGUGGCGGUGAGGGAUAGGCAUAUACUGGUGAUGGUGGUGGUGAUGGGGAUGGUGGUGGGUGAUAAGGUGUUUGAUGUGGCGCUGGCGAUGAUGGUGGUGGAGGUUCUACACAAGGUGGCGGUGGAGGUGGUGGAGGUUCUACACAAGGUGGUGGAGAUGGCGGUGGUGGUGAAUAGACUGGUGGUGGAGGUGAGUGUACUGGAGGAGGUGGUGGGGGUGAUAAAUAUGGAUAUACGGGUGGAGGAGGUGAGUGAGGUGGUGGUGGUGGCGAA
rnacentral:lncRNA from 1 species